rnacentral:rRNA from 1 species
GACAGAGAUGGCAAGCGUUAUCCGGAAUGAUUGGGCGUAAGCGUCUGUAGGUGGCUUUUAAGUCCGCCGUCAAAUCCCAGGGCUCAACCCUGGAACCAGGCGGUGGAAACUACCAAGCUGGAGUACGGGUAGGGGCAGAGGGAAUUUCCGGGUGGGAGCGGGUGAAAUGCGUAGAGAUCGGAAAGAACACCAACGGCGAAAGCACUCUGCUGGGCCGACACUGACACUGAGAGACGAAAGCUAGGGGAGCGAAUGGG